AUCUCGAUUCUCGAAGCGAACGGUAGUGUUUAAACAGUGACUCAUAUAAUAUAAAAGAUAAAUAAAAAUGAAGUUUCUAUUGCUGAUUUUCUGCGCAGCGAUGCUGUUCGCGUUUAUCAGUGCAAUUAAAGAUAAUAAUAGGCAUAUUAAAUCUGCACAGCGUACUAAAUGUGCUUCAUUGUCCGGAAAAUGUGUGGUGAAAAUUGCAGAAAAGAACUUCAGGAGCAAAAGGGUGCAACGAAGUGUCAUGAAUAGUGGUUCCAGUCCAUGCCCAGACGGGUACAUUUGGCACUACUAUAAAUGCUGGCGAUGUGACAAGUACGAGGAAAUAACUGGGAAUCCAUGCUAAUAGUGCCUCCGAAAAUUACUUAAAUUAUUUUUUUCCAAUUUAUAAAAUGAAACACAUCACUGGAAAAAGCUGCUCAACUAUUCAUAUAAAUGUGACUAUUUGCUACUGUUGCCUUGACAGAAUGCCUUAGACAUUCGAACAUUGGUAAAGCCGAAUUACGCCAUACUUGAACAGUGCAAAUAUCCACUGCAUGUUACCUCAUCAGAACUGGCCUUGAAGCUGCAGCUGUUGCCAUGACAACCCGUGUUAUGUUAAAAACAACGUAAAACCAAAUUAAGGAAAUUAUCUAAGGCGAACUUCCGAUGGUGUGCGGUACCUUCACUGUUUCUUCUGGUCUACUGUCUCUAGUGAACAAUAAUGGAGUGCGCAUAUUUCUAAACGAUCUGUGAAAUUGCAACGUGUGUGCGGACAUAAUAUGCUAGAAGUGAUCUCGCCGACACGUACAAAUGUGUGCGAACAGUUGUGGUGUAGUCUUGCCAUAGGAUUAGUGAGUAGUUAGAAGUUCCUGAUGAAGUUAAAUUAAAAAAAAAGAUAAACAGAAAAGUAUGUGUUUCAGGUUUUCGCCUGUUGUGUUAUUAAUCUAUUCUGAAUUAGUGGUUGUGUAUGUUUUUAAUGUAUUACCUAAAUUUUCUUGUAGUUAAGUACCUGUUACAUUUCCAGAUUUAGAGAAUGCAAUACCGAAAAAAAUCGCCACAUCUUAAAGGGAGAAAUGCGAACAAAAAACAUUCAUUACGGCUUGGUAUUUUGUCUGACGAUUGCUGAUAUUAUAUUUUUCGCAUCACAGGAGCAAAAACACAUUGGUUUCUUUCAAAGAUGAUCUUUUUACUACUGUGUGAUACUUCUAAUUAUAUUCUCUAGAUCUGCGAUUGUAAUGGCAAUUAUGGUCUAGGCAUUUUGAUCUGAAAUGAAAAUUACUUCAAGAUUCCACCUUAAAUACAAGACCACCGUUUUCAUUCCAGACUACCUAUAUGUAUUUUAAAUAUUCAAUAAUUAAUUUAAAGUAUUUUUUAAAACUGAUAACAGAUUAUGGCCUAUUUCUGACUGUUUUAUAGUUCUAUGAUAACAACAUGCUGUUUGUCAUAGGUACUUAAGUGAAGUGCGUAGGUAAAUUAGUCUGCAAUGUCAUUUCUAAAAACAGUAUUACUGUAGUAUCUUUUGUACGCACGUUCGUCAGCACGUAUUGUUUGAGGCAUUUAAUUUAGAAAUUGUGUAAAACAGAGUCAUAAUUUAAUUUGACAGGUCCCGGCUGUCAUAUGAACAUCCUUGACAGUCUUUGCAAACUGUUAGAUUAUUGGGUACCAAAAUUCGAGUAAUUUGACUGACGAGCGAGUGUUAAGUAUUGCAAGACCUGAAAUCAGCAUUCCACUACUUAAUGUAUUAUUGUAACAUCGGCCUGUAUCUCAUCUUCACUUAUCUGCAUCUGCACACAAGAAUCUGGGAGAUUUCGAAUUAUGUUAUAUAAUGAAAAAGUAUUGUAUAAAAGUAUUUGCCACUAUUUUUAAAUUAACCUUGAUUCUUGUGUUUCCGCCGUCUUUAUAUGUUUUCAAUGUUAAUCUCAUUUCUCAUUUAAGUAAUAAGUUGCAUAAAAUAUUCUGUCUAUUUGAGGCGCUUAUGGCUAUGUUAAAGCCUCACGAGUAGGCAGUUUGUUCCAUGGAAAAUUUUAGAUUGUAGAUGGUUAAAUUGUAGAUCUCGGCUGUCAGAAGCCAAGACAACUGCUUUCAACCAGUAUUGUACCAAGGGGUAUUGAUUUGCUCAAACAACUGGGUUUACGAGAUCAGAGACGCAAUUGAUCAAUGUAAAACACUGGUGCUCAGCUGCAUCUGGUUAAACUAGAAGCCGAACCCAACAUAGUUGGGAAAGGCUAGGCAAAUGAUGAUAUUUAUAGCUAUUCUGUAUUUUUUGAUAUUGCUAAUUUAAAUGUUAAAUUAAAGAUUAUUGCAGGCAAAAACUAA